rnacentral:rRNA from 1 species
UACGUAGGGUGCAAGCGUUAAUCGGAAUUACUGGGCGUAAAGGGCGCGUAGGCGGCCUUCUAAGUCGAACGUGAAAUCCCCGGGCUCAACCCGGGAACUGCGUCCGAUACUGGAAGGCUUGAAUCCGGGAGAGGGAUGUGGAAUUCCAGGUGUAGCGGUGAAAUGCGUAGAUAUCUGGAGGAACACCGGUGGCGAAGGCGACAUCCUGGACCGGUAUUGACGCUGAGGCGCGAAAGCCAGGGGAGCAAACGGGG